GGCGAACGGGUGAGUAACGCGUUGGUGACCUGCCCCGAAGUGGGGGAUAACAGCUCGAAAGGGCUGCUAAUACCCCAUGUGGUCGCGAAGGUUAGAGGCUUUGCGAUUAAAGGAGUAAUCCGCUUUGGAAGGGGCCUGCGUCCCAUCAGCUAGUUGGUAGGGUAAAAGCCUACCAAGGCGACGACGGGUAGGGGGCCUGAGAGGGUGACCCCCCACACUGGCACUGAAACACGGGCCAGACACCUACGGGUGGCAGCAGUAGGGAAUAUUGCACAAUGGGCGAAAGCCUGAUGCAGCAACGCCGCGUGCGCGAUGAAGGCCUUCGGGUCGUAAAGCGCUUUUCGGGGAGAUGAGGAAGGACAGUAUCCCCAGAAUAAGGUUCGGCUAACUACGUGCCAGCAGCCGCGGUAAAACGUAGGAACCGAGCGUUAUCCGAAUUUACUGGGCGUAAAGCGUGUGUAGGCGGUUCGGUAAGUUGGAUGUGAAAUCUCCCGGCUCAACUGGGAGAGGUCGUUCAAUACUGUCGAACUUGAGGGUGGUAGAGGGAGGUGGAAUUCCCGGUGUAGUGGUGAAAUGCGUAGAUAUCGGGAGGAACACCAGUGGCGAAAGCGGCCUCCUGGACCAUUCCUGACGCUCAGACACGAAAGCUAGGGGAGCAAACGGGAUUAGAAACCCCGGUAGUCCUAGCUGUAAACGAUGUUGACUUGGCGUUGGUGGGG
rnacentral:rRNA from 1 species